rnacentral:rRNA from 1 species
GACGAACGCUGGCGGCGUGCCUAAUACAUGCAAGUAGAACGCUGAAGGAGGAGCUUGCUUCUCUGGAUGAGUUGCGAACGGGUGAGUAACGCGUAGGUAACCUGCCUGGUAGCGGGGGAUAACUAUUGGAAACGAUAGCUAAUACCGCAUAAGAGUAGAUGUUGCAUGACAUUUGCUUAAAAGGUGCAAUUGCAUCACUACCAGAUGCACCUGCGUUGUAUUAGCUAGUUGGUGGGGUAACGGCUCACCAAGGCGACGAUACAUAGCCGACCUGAGAGGGGGAUCGGCCACACUGGGACUGAGACACGGCCCAGACGCAUACGGGAGGCAGCAGGAGGGAAACGUGGGGAAGGGACGGAAGUCUGACCGAGCAACGCCGCGUGAGGGAAGAAGGUUGUCGGAUCGGAAAGCUCGGUUGUAAGAGAAGAAAAAGUGUGAGAGUGGAAAGUUCACACUGUGACGGUAUCUUAUCAGAAAGGGACGGCUAACUACGUG